rnacentral:tRNA from 1 species
AGCGGGUGUAGUCUAGUGGUAAAACUACAGCCUUCCAAGCUGUUGUCGCGAGUUCGAUUCUCGUCACCCGCUU